rnacentral:lncRNA from 1 species
UUAUAUAAUGACUUAAGGAAUGUAAAAUAAUCUGAAGUGACCAAAUCGGUAUAUCAAGAUGCCACUUAUAUUGUGUUUUUAGUAACACAUAUACAUUAAAGAAAAAAUAUUAUACGUUAUUUAUUUGAUAUGAAUAAGUGGGUUAAAUAAAUAAUUUUAAUGAAUAAAAUAAUUUAUCGAAAACAUAUAAAAUAAAUUAUACUGAAUUUGGUUUAAUAAGUUAAUGGAUCAUUUAAAAUAUACGCCCAAGAUAUAAAUUUUGUACUUAUGCUAAAUAUUUGACAUAAAUAUUAUGAAUAUUAAGAAAGUCAUAACUAAAAUAAACAAACUUUCUAUUGCACAUAUUUUCUUUAAUGAACAUUAAAUUUUAUUUCUCUAUAUAUCAUACACACAACUUAUCAUAAUACCU